rnacentral:misc_RNA from 1 species
GUGAAUCAUCGAAUCUUUGAACGCAUAUUGCACUCUCUGGUAUUCCGGAGAGUAUGCCUGUUUGAGGGUAAUUAAAAAGAAUCUUUUACCAAUUUUUUUGGUAAACGGAAAUGAGCUCUCUGCGUUUAUAGCGGUAGCUUGAAAUCAAUGGUCAAGUCUCAUUUUAGUCGAGGCGUGUAAUAAUAUUAUUUUGCGAAAUCUUUAUUAUGUGACUAACAAGUUUUUAUGGAUACAAAGUUGGUUUGUAAGCGAUCA